UACAGAGGGUGCGAGCGUUAACCGGAUUUACUGGGCGUAAAGAGUGCGUAGGCGGCUUUUUGAGUCGGAUGUGAAAGCCCGGGGCUUAACUUGGGAAUUGCAUUCGAGACUGGGUAGCUAGAGUAUGGGAGAGGAUGGUAGAAUUCCAGGUGUAGCGGUGAAAUGCGUAGAGAUCUGGAGGAAUAUCGAUGGCGAAGGCAGCCAUCUGGCCUAAUACUGACGCUGAGGUACGAAAGCAUGGGGAGCAAACAGG
rnacentral:misc_RNA from 1 species